rnacentral:rRNA from 1 species
CGUGUAGGCGGGAGAGCAAGUCAGAAGUGAAAUCUAUGGGCUUAACCCAUAAACUGCUUUUGUAAACUGUUCUUCUUGAGUAUCGGAGAGGCAGGCGGAAUUCCUAGUGUAGCGGUGAAAUGCGUAGAUAUUAGGAGGAACACCAGUGGCGAAGGCGGCCUGCUGGACGACAACUGACGCUGAGGCGCGAAAGUCGGGGGAGCAAAC